GCCACCCUGUCAUACUGAGCUUUCUACUCAUGAAGAACAGUUUGUUGAUACUCUAUACCUGGCUGAUACCAUGAUAGACGUCUUGAUCACCAACACAUCUCUUUUUUGUUCUGGCUGGAACACUCAUCUCCCAUCCACAAUGCUCAGUACUGCAGCACCCUCAGAUUCUAGAGAAGUAACCUCUGCUAAGACAGCUUAGGUUGUGCCUACAUUCUAGAUGCAGACAAUGACUGGUGUCACAGUGAUACCAUCUCUUGGUCCCCUUCAUUUAACUGGAGCUCCAUGGGGGGACUUUAACACUGUGUGUACAGCUUCAGUAUGAAACCAGACUCCAGUUGACACCAUAUCACUUCAUCCCACACUGCUCAGCUCUUUUACGACCAACCAUGUUUCCCUCUUUCUGUUGCUGAAAGCCCAUUUUCAGUUUCUAAGAGCCUUUUGGAAUUGUUCAGCAUUUGGAUUUCUGUUGAUAUAUACUGUUAAAGGAUUAUACAUGGUGACAUAUACUGUCACCAUUGAUAUAGGCAAUAUAACCGAUCAUAACCUGCAUCUCCUGCCUCAUGUCAUAUCUUUUCUGUCAUGAUGGAUUGAAUCCUCCUGGAACUGCAAUAAACGGUUAGUGACUCACCCAGUCAUCAUCAGAGAGACUUUCCCCAGCUGCUGAUAGAAGAAAGGUGCAGAGACCACCACCAAUAUUAAGUGGGGCUUUCCAGAAACCCUGAACAAGAGGGGAGAAUGGAUUGUAGAUGGGGUCUAGAGCCUCAGGAACACAUGGCCCUCUAUAUCAACUCAGCAGGACUCAUAGGAUCUCAGAGACUGAAGCAGCACUGAUGGAGCCUGUAUGGGUGGACAAGCUGGCUCUGAAGUCAUAAGAGAGGGAGAGAUGGCCCCACUUGUCACUGGCUGUAGUUCUCAAGAGAGUGAGUCCUGCUUCUUGUCUGGGCAGCACAGAAGAGCUGGCACUGGUGGCAAAGGUAAAGAUUUGCUUGCAUAUGGAAUGUGACAGGACAUACGAGGAGUUAUGGGAGGCAG